rnacentral:rRNA from 1 species
GACUACAGGGGUAUCUAAUCCUGUUUGCUCCCCACGCUUUCGAGUCUCAGUGUCAGUUACAGUCCAGUGAGUCGCCUUCGCCUCUGGUGUUCCUCCUAAUCUCUACGCAUUCUACCGCUACACUAGGAAUUCCACUCACCUCUCCUGCACUCUAGUUCAACAGUAUCACAUGCACUUCCUCGGUUAAGCCGAGGGAUUUCACAUGUGACUUAUCAAACCACCUACACUCUCUUUACGCCCAGUAAUUCCGGAUAACGCUCGCCACCUACGUUUUACCGCGGCUGCUGGCACGUAGUUAGCCAUGGCUUUCUAAUAGGGUACCAUCACUUUCUUUUUCCCCUAUCACAGAAGUUUACAAUCCGAAGACCUUCUUCCUUCACGCGGCGUUGCUGGAUCAGGCUUUCGCCCAUUGUCCAAUAUUCCCCACUGCUGCCCCCCGUAGG